rnacentral:rRNA from 1 species
UACGAAGGGGGCUAGCGUUGCUCGGAAUCACUGGGCGUAAAGCGCACGUAGGCGGAUUGUUAAGUCAGGGGUGAAAUCCCGGGGCUCAACCCCGGAGCUGCCUUUGAUACUGGGUAUCUCGAGUCCGGAAGAGGUGAGUGGAAUUCCGAGUGUAGAGGUGAAAUUCGUAGAUAUUCGGAGGAACACCAGUGGCGAAGGCGGCUCACUGGUCCGGUACUGACGCUGAGGUGCGAAAGCGUGGGGAGCAAACAGG